rnacentral:lncRNA from 1 species
CUUUGAUGAUCUCUUCUCUUUCUAUUAGUCAAUGUUCUGCCCUGAAUUGUACAUUGUGGAUUAGUUCUGGGACAGCUCGAUUUUUUUUUUUUUUUUAAGAUUUUGAUGUUGUCUUCACCAUUUGUCUCCAGAUGCUACUGUAAUAGAAAUUCAGGCUCCUGCCUGUGCCAUAAACUCAUUUAUUCUUGAUGUCUCUACAGAUAUCACUUAUUAUAACAAUGAAGAAGUACUUACGUGCAGGAUCUGAAUUUAUGCGGGCAAGGAACGGUUCAAAAGCUGCCUACUUUACAUUAUGCAAUGACUGUCUAGAUCCUGCUACAUUGCACUUGCUUAUGAACAUUGGUUUUGUGCUACCGUGCAAUUCUAGUAGUGGAACUGGGCCGGAAAACCUCCCUGGAGGACUCUUGCGGUCAGGCUGAACAAG